rnacentral:lncRNA from 1 species
AGGGGCAUGACAUCUCUAUAUGGGGUAUAAGAUCUAUCUCAAAAGAGAGAGGCAUGAGGCUUGAUCCUUUUAUAAUGUGAACUCUUUUGCAUGAGAGUCCAAGGGCAUUAAGACUUUGACAUGUUAAACUUUUUGAUUAGUCAAAGACUUGGAUGUGAAGGACUCUUGGACAUCAAUACCUCUAGGCAUCCAACUCUUGGGCGCAUAAGAAAUUAUAGGGCAUCAGAAACAAGCGCACAAUCAUAGAGGUGUUG